AACGGAAUGAGUCGCCACAAAAAAACACGAAAUUACUCUCGCAAAGAUUAAAAAUACACAUCUCUCCAUAACAAAAUGGAGCCCGAAAGAAAAAGAAAUGUUUCUGCUGUGUGGGAUCAUUUUGAUCUUUUAACUGGAAAUAAGGUCCAGCAGGUGUCAGUAUGGAGCACAACAGCAACACUGUGUCGACACAGUAUCGAUACAGUUUGGGGAAUGUGCUGAAACGCUUCAUGAGGCCUCAUCUACCCAUCACUACUGCUCAUCAACAUCAGGUGUGGUGAACAGGCAGCCCAGAUGUUCAGAGUCCAGCUGUGGGUGUCGGUGAAGGUUCAGACGUGUCAGCAGCCUGCCGGUACGUGGCGAGGAAGAUCCGGGCUGCGGCGCGAGGAGAGGAGCAGCCGGAGAAGCCGAGCACCGCGGGAUGCAAGCAGGCUAAAUCUCGCAAGGGUGACAGGAUGAGCAGCGAACCCGCCCUGAUGACCCCGCCCACAGAGCAGGACGUCGACGUGCUGCCGAAGGAGAACUGCGGGUCCUGAAAGUAAGCCGAGAGCUGGAGGGCAGGGAGGUCCAAAAAGCAUCCCAAUCAGACGCCGUCCCAAACUGGCUCUGACCUCGACCUCUUUCUGCUUCCGGCUCUCGGCGCUCUUUCGGCUCCUCCUUCCUCACGUCUCAGAGCGUCAGCAGAGAGGAUGAAAGGCUGCUCACCAAUUCCCCGCUCGAGGACCUGAGCAGCCCUGAUGACCGUGCCGGUCUCUGCUGACGACGCUCUCACGCCAACCUCGCUUCUUUUUGUUGUUGCUUUAAUAAAAACCGUUUUAAACCUGA
ensembl:lncRNA